CUCUAUUGCUGUUGUUGCCAUUAUUAUUGUUAUUAUUAUUAUUAUUGCUUUCUUAAGUGUCCUUGUUGAGGACAUUGACCUUGAGCUCCUUGGGCCAUGAUAAUACCAGGAUUAAUAGGCUCCUGCAAGAAGCAGCAAUCCAGAGCAGGGCACCCUCCAUUUCCUGUCAGAUCACGGCAUACUUGAUUUCUUAAAGAUUUUUUUGAAGAAAGAGAAAAGAUCUCCAAACCCCAAACUGCUAAUCUUCACUCAAGAAUUGUUGAAGCCAGGAGGCUGUCUUCAACGCUCACAGUUGAUGCUGAAUAACUUGCAGCUGGGAAACAUUUCUCAACGAGGACUUUUCAUUGGCCCCCUCCCCAUUCCUGGGUCCAGGUUCAUUUCAUAUUCAGCAGGGCCACCUCAGACUAUGAAGAAGCACACUGAUCGUAGGCUUAAAUAGGCAACUAUGAGUCAUCAAGUUCAAUUUUCUCUGUUUCAGGAAUCCCUUCUCUAGCCUCUCUCUUGGUGUUUGAGCACCUCCAGCGUUGGGGCGCUCUCCACCUCAAGAUGAAGUCUGUGACACUCUCCACCAGCUCCAAGGGUUACAAAUUUCUUUCUGGGUUGAUAUGGAAUCUGCCUUCUAACCACAUCUAUAAAUUGACGGCAGUCCUGCCAUCGUGGCACCCUGGAGCACCACCACAUCCUCCUCCACAAGAGGGAGAUAUGCCCUGAACCCGCAGUUAGGUAGUUGGCAAUUUUGUCUUUUUCAGAGUUUGUUUUCUGGGAUAAAAUGCUCCAAUCUUGGAAGACAAGUCUUAGUAUUAUGCUGAGAACAAUGCACUUACUGUGUGGACUGCUUUUUGGACACAAACAACCCGCAUUGCUUAACAGUUUUGUGCAAACAUGUUCUAAUGGGCUUAAGUAUGAGAUUUGGUCAUUUCAGCCCAAGGCCAGACUGGCCACGUUUCAGGUUUCCAAUUGAAGCACUAGUUUGUGAUCAUCUUUGUCACCUGGCUUGGUGCCCAGAGCGGAGGGCAGAAUUGUCCCGAUUUGCUCCCAGAUUACGCCUGCGUCCCACGUGGUUUAGUCUGUAUCCAAAAUGGACCCGAAAGCUUUAGGGGCAGAGGGCUUCCCCCUGUGGCUGUAGAUUCACUCAGGUGCCGUUAACUCAGAAGAGACAAUGUUUCCCUGCCGAGUGGUCAGGCCACAAAGAAGGAGCCCCGCAGGCUUUUCCGCACCCAGCUUCAGAGGUUCAUGUCUGAGGACCCGUCUGAGGUGGCUGGAGUGAGGGCUCUGUGCCUGUGGCUGGGGGAGCACGGGACAAGGCACCGCAUGUUCCAGUUUCUCUGUCCCGAGAUCUGUCCACUGGUGAUUUGGACACGUAGCUCACGGAGGUUCACUUCUUACUAACUGCACGUCUAGACCUUACCUGAAAGUCUUUAGGAGAGGUAUCAUGACGGGCAGACGGAGCAGAGGGGAGAACAGUCUGCAAGAGCCUCAAGGCCAGCUUGAUGCAGACCCACCAGGGGGCUUUCCAGAGUGGGAAGUGAUCGAAUGAGCCACACCUGAUCCGAUGCUUCUUAAUAAAACAAAGAGAGUGAAAAUGCUUUCUGGACUC
rnacentral:lncRNA from 1 species